GACGAACGCUGGCGGCGUGCUUAACACAUGCAAGUCGAGCGGAAAGGCCCCUUCGGGGGUACUCGAGCGGCGAACGGGUGAGUAACACGUGAGUAAUCUGCCCUUCACUUUGGGAUAACCCCCGGAAACGGGAGCUAAUACCGGAUACGACCACUCCACGCAUGUGGGGGUGGUGGAAACUUUUUUGGGUGGGGGAUGUGCUCGCGGCCUAUCAGCUUGUUGGUGGGGUAAUGGCCUACCAAGGCUUUGACGGGUAGCCGGCCUGGGAGGGUGACCGGCCACACUGGGACUGAGACACGGCCCAGACUCCUACGGGAGGCAGCAGUGGGGAAUAUUGGACAAUGGGCGGAAGCCUGAUCCAGCAACGCCGCGUGAGGGAUGACGGCCUUCGGGUUGUAAACCUCUUUCAGCACCGACGAAGCGCAAGUGACGGUAGGUGCAGAAGAAGGACCGGCCAACUACGUGCCAGCCGCCGCUGUAACAC
rnacentral:rRNA from 1 species